UUUAAUAACCAGAGAGUUCAUCUG
rnacentral:siRNA from 1 species